AUACUUACCUGGCAGGGGAGAUACCAUGAUCAUGAGGUGGUGCCCAGGGCCGAGGCUCAGCCAUUGCACUUCGGUUGUGCUGACCGAUGCCCGAAUUCCCCAAAUGUGAGUCUCAGCUGCCUCAAUUUGUGGUAGUGGAGACUCGUCCAGCUCUCCC